rnacentral:hammerhead_ribozyme from 1 species
GUCCAACUGAUGAGUCCAAAAUGGAACGAAACGCGCAUCCUGCAU